GUGACAGAGUGUCAGUGCUGGAUGUGAGGAUGAGGUCCACUUUGAUCUGUGUGCUGGGAUUAUUCUUGAUGGACACACUCUGCUACGGAGAAUCUGAAGAUGUGAUUUUGGAAAGUCCUUCAUUCACAUUGUUUGAGGGAGACUCAGUGACUCUGCGCUGUAAGCCUCGUC